GCUCGAGUGGUGAAAUUGGCAUACACGCAAGACUUAGGAUCUUGUGCCCUAUGGCAUGAGGGUUCGACCCCCUCCUCGAGCACCA
rnacentral:tRNA from 1 species